CCGGGUUGAUCCUGCUAGUGGCAUAUGCCUGUCUCAAAGAUUGAGCCAUACACGUGUAGUACACAUGACUAGUACAGUGACACUGCGAAUGGCUCAUUAAAUUAGUGAUGGCUCCUUCUGUUGAUUGGAUAACUGUGGUAAAUCUACAGGAAUACAUGACUACAAACGCUAACCUCCAGGGAUGCGUGCAUUCAUCAGACCAAGACCAAUCCGGUCUUGCAAGGCCUCUUUGGUGACUCUAGGUAAGAUUGGUCAGAUCACACGUCCAUGUGACAACAACGAUACAUUCGGAUGUCUGCCUUUUCAACUUCUGAUGGUACUUCCUGUUCUUACCAUGAUCACAGGUAAGGGGGAAUCAGUAUUCAAUUCCAGAGAGGGGGGCCUGAGAAACGGCUACCACAUCCAAAGGAGGCAGCAGGCGUGCAAAUAACCCAUUCUCAAUUUGGAGAGGUAGUGAUGGAAACUAAAGGCCUUGUUAUUGGCAUGGAUACACGUUAAGUCCUUUAUCAAGGAUUCAUGGAGUGCAAGUCUGGUGCCAGCAGCUGCAGUAAUUCCAGCUCCAAUAGCAUAUGUUAAUGUUGCGCACUUGAAAUGCUCACAGUUACAUCUUUUGAUCAAGUUGGUGAUCUGGAAUGAUUCUUUGGACUUAGUGUCCUGGGGGGCCGAAGGAUUUACGGUGAAAUUAUUAGAGUGUUCAAAUCAGGCUGGUCGCCUGGAUAUUUCAGCUAGGAAUGAUUAAAUAGGACUCCAGUUACAUUUUGUUUGUUUUCAGAACUGGGCCAUGAUUAAGAGGGAUGGCCAGGGACAUUUGUAUCAUGUCACUAGAGGUGAUAUUCUAGGGCCUUCGUACUUCCGAACAUUAAUGAUGCCAGUGAAUGAUCCAGCAGUGCUAUUCCCAUGACACACCAAGCAGCUACCAGGAAACCAGAGUCUUUGGGAUCCAUGGAGAAUAUGGUUGCAAAGCUGGUACAGAAGGGCACCAGUCGGAGUGGAUCCUGUGGCUUGAUUUGACUUAUCACGGGGAACCUCACCCGGGCCCAGACACAGAAAGGAUUGACAGAUUGAUAGCUCUUUGUCGAUUCUGUGCUGGGGGAGUGGCACGUCCAUUCUUACUGGGUGGAGCGACCUUUCUGGUAAAUUCGGGUCAAGAACAAGACUCCUCCAUGCUAACUAGUUACAUGAAACCCAGCAAUCAGCUUUCAACUUCUUAGAGGGAAAAUUUCAGCCACAUGAGACCUAGCAAGAACAGGUCUGUGAUGUCCUGAGAUGUCCAGGGAAGUACGCGUGCUACCCUGAAUGGAUCAGCGUGUGCCUACGCUUUGCCAACAGGUGUGUGUGACCUGUUGAACCUCAUUUGUUAUAGGGAUUGGGAAUUCCAAUUAUUUCCCAUGAACAAGGAAUUCCAAGUAAGUGCAUAUCAUUGCUCACUUUAUUAAGUUCCUGCGCUUUGUACACUCUGGCCAUCGCUACUACCCAUUGCAUUUUUAAGUGAGGUCCUCACAUCAGCCUCACAUGGGAUGGCAAUGGGAAUGGCAGAGCACGAGAAGCCAUUCAAAUGUGACACUAAGUCAUAACAAGGUUUCUGUUGGUAAACCGGCAGACA
rnacentral:rRNA from 1 species